GCCGUUGUAGCUCAGUUGGUAGAGCACCUGCAAUGUAAGCAGGAGGUCCGGUGGUUCGAAACCCCGCAAUGGCACCA
rnacentral:tRNA from 1 species